rnacentral:rRNA from 1 species
AGCAGCCGCGGUAAUUCCAGCUCCAAUAGCGUAUAUUAAAGUUGUUGCAGUUAAAAAGCCCGUAGUUGAAUUUCGGGGUUAGUAGGUUGGUCAUGCCUCUGGUAUGUACUGGUCUCACUGAUUCCUCCUUCCUGAUGAGCCGUAAUGCCAUUAAUUUGGUGUUGCGGGGAAUUUGGACUGUUACUUUGAAAAAUUAGAGUGUUUAAGGCAAGCUAACGCUUGAAUACAUUAGCAUGGAAUAAUGAAAUAGGACGUUCGAUCCUAUUUUGUUGGUUUCUAGGAUUGACGUAAUGAUUAAUAGGGAUAGUUGGGGGCAUUAGUAUUCAAUUGUCAGAGGUGAAAUUCUUGGAUUUAUUGAAGACUAACUACUGCGAAAGCAUUUGCCAAGGAUGUUUUCAUUAAUCAAGAACGAAAGUUAGGGGAUCGAAGACGAUCAGAUACCGUCGUAGUCUUAACCAUAAACUAUGCCGACUAGGGAUCGGAUGAUGUUAAUUUUUAAUGUACUCAUUCGGCGCCUUAC